ACCCGCACAAGCGGUGGAUGAUGUGGAUUAAUUCGAUGCAACGCGAAGAACCUUACCUACCCUUGACAUGCCCCGAACCUGGGAGAGAUCCUGGGGUGCCGAAAGGGAACGGGGACACAGGUGCUGCAUUGGCUGUCGUCAGCUCGUGUCGUGAGAUGUUGGGUUAAGUCCCGCAACGAGCGCAACCCUUAUCCUUUGUUGCCAGCGGUUCGGCCGGGAACUCAAAGGAGACUGCCAGUGAUAAACUGGAGGAAGGUGGGAUGACGUCAAGUCAUCAUGGCCCUUACGAGUAGGGCUACACACGUGCUACAAUGGCAUAUACAAAGAGAAGCGACCUCGCGAGAGCAAGCGGACCUCAUAAAGUAUGUCGUAGUCCGGACUCGGAGUCUGCAACUCGACUCCGUGAAGUCGGAAUCGCUAGUAAUCGUAGAUCAGAAUGCUACGGUGAAUACGUUCCCGGGCCUU
rnacentral:rRNA from 1 species